GACGAACGCUGGCGGCGUGCUUAACACGUGCAAGUCGAACGGAAAGGCCCUGCUCUUGUGGGGCGCUCGUGUGGCGAACGGGUGUGUCACACGUGUGUACCCUGCCCUUGACUUUGGGAUAACUUCAGGAAACUGGGGCUAAUACCGGAUAGGAGCCCCUGCUGCAUGGUGGGGGUUGGAAAGUUUCGGCGGUUGGGGAUGGUCUCGCGGCUUAUCAGCUUGUUGGUGGGGUUGUGGCUUACCAAGGCUUUGACGGGUGGCCGGCCUGAGAGGGUGACCGGCCACAUGGGGACUGGGAUACGGCCCGAACUCCAAGGGGAGGCAGCAGUGGGAAAUAUGGCACAAGGGGCGGAGGCCUGAGGCAGCAACGCCGGGUGCGGGAGAAGGGCCUUCGGGUGGAAAACCGCUUUCGCCUGGGACGAAGCGUGAGUGACGGUAAUGGGUAAAGAAGCACCGGCUAACUACGUG
rnacentral:rRNA from 1 species